CAGCAGGAUGGGAUGGCUCCUUCCCACUGGGGUGGGCUGAUGGCUCUGCUGUCCCCCACAGAGCUGGCAGGACGUCGUGCCAGGUACACCAGGGGUGACAGCCCUGUCCCAGGGGAAGAGGAGCGCUCCUGGGCUCAGCUCCUGGACUCCCAGCCCAGCCCGGGGCACUGGAGCAGCUCCAGCUCCAUCUGCACGGAGGACUUUGCUGCCAGCUUUUGGGAGGGGAUGGUGGAGCCGCUGCUGUGCCAGCAGGAGCCUGCUGGGGAUGGCUCCACGGAAGGAGCUCACCCUGGGCAGGAUGAGCCCUUGUUCCCCACAGGGAGAAGCCUGGACACGCGGGCACGGCUGGGCAGAGCCCCCUGGCAGGAGCCGUCUCCAUCCCGGAGCAGGAGGGAGAGCCUGGAGUCCCUGGGAGCGAGGAUCUCCCGCCUGAGCCAGAGCCAUGUGGGGGUGGCCUGGGGGGUCCCCUGGCCAUCCCCCCCUGCCCAGCCAGCCCUGGCCCGCAGGGACUCUCCCUGUGGGGACCUGCUGGCCACCGCCUGCCCUGGCCAUUCCUGGAGAACUCCGGGGGUCUCUGCUGGCACGGGCAGGGCUGGGACAAGGACAGGCUCUCCUGGCAGCAGCUUUCCCAGGGCCAGCAGUGCCAGAGCCGGGGGACAUCCCGUCCUGGGCAUGAGGCCACAGGAGCCAGCGGCUCCCUGGGGACGUGGAGGGAAUGUCACCCUCAGUUCGGAUGGCACGGCCAGGGGAGGAGCAGGCAGCAGCGGGAGUGCUGGCACAGCCCUGGGAGCCCCCGGGCAUUGGGGGUCACCCGUGUCCCCAGGGCUGCGUGGGGACCAGAAAGGGGGGCUGCCCUGCAAGGGGGUGACGGGGCAGCCGGUGCCACCGCGCUGGUCCCUGCGGAGCCGCCAGGAGGGGACGCGAGAGCCGGGAGCCGGUGCCGAGCCCUGGAGCAAAGGGGACAGAGCCGGGACUGGCCUGGCACUGCUGGGACACACCUGGGACACCAAGCACCGGUGCCACACAGACCUGCAGAGGAUGUCUUGGCAGGGGCAGAGAGCCUGUGUGGGUCAGGAGUGGCUGGACAAGGAGAAAACUUCACAAGAAGAGAAACUGGAGCUGCUGGAGAGGCUGCGGGAGCUGGAGCGGGGCAGCCGCUCCCUCCUGCAGCAGCGGCUGCGGGUCCUGCAGCGGCUCCACGGGCUGCUCCAGAGGGACAAGGCGGAGACCCUUCGGCAGCUCCGGGAGGCCCUGGAGCAGGAUCGGGCCGGCAGGAGCGUCCUGCGGGAGCAUCUCCCGAGCCGCCCGCGGGAUGCGGCGGUGCCGGGGCGGGCUGGGGGCUCCCGGGCCCUGGGGACCCCCCCCCGCCCCAGCAGUGCCGUGGGACCCGGCCCCUCGCCGGCAGCGCUCGGGUGGGUCCCAGGAGCUGCCCAGGGGGACGGGGGGGUCCCACUCGUGCGAGCCUCCCUCCCUCCCUGUCCCCGCAGCUCAUCCCUGCCCUCCCCCAGCCGCGCUCUCCGCGUCCUGCGGCGGCUCCGGCAGCAAAUCCAGCGGCGCCUCGGGCAGUGGCAGAGGCUGCAGGGAGCCCUGGGAGCCGCAGGACACAGGCAGGAGGACGAGGAGCAGAGGCAGCAGCCGGAGAAGGUCCCAGCUCCAGGAGCCCCGAGGGAGCCCCUGGUCCAGGGACAGAGGGAACAUCCCAAUCCCUCCCUGUCCCUGAGCUCCCGGGGGCUCCUGCAGCAGCUCCAGCAGCACUUCCAGGAGCUGCAGCUGGAGAAGACACGGGACACGGGGAGCCCGACGGCCCUGGGGGACAAUUGGGCACCAGAGAGGAGACCCGGGGCCAGCCCGGGGUGGGGACUCCCCCUCUGCCACCGGCCCAGCGCUGAUCCAAGGAAAGGAGGAGGGGCAGAGCUCCACCAUGGAGCACAAUUCCCGGUGGGAACAGCCCUCAGGCAGGUCCCACCAGCACCACCCCACGGCACCAGUGAUCCCAGGGUCACUGUUGGAUCCUGAGGGAAUCAGGUGGGAUGGCCAUGGAAUCCCAGGGAUCGGGCACAGGGCUCCCACAUCCUCUUCCCAGCCUGCAGCUCCUCCCCCGGUCACUCCCCCAUCUCUCACUCUGGGACAGAGCCGGGGGCAGCUUGCAGGUGACAUUUUCUCUUCUGUUCCACCACGAGGACACCGGUUGGAUAUCUGGGAAAAAUUCCAAGCUGAAAAGGAAAUUAAACACUGGCCCAAGCUGCCCAGGGCAGUGGUGAAAUCACCAUCCCUGGAAGUGUCAAAAAACCAGGUCCAUGUGGCACUUUGGGAAGGGCUUUAGUGGGAUUUGCUCAAAGGUUGGACUUGAUGAUCUUGGAGGUCUUUUCCAGCCUUGAUUCCGUGAUUCUGAGUUUUCUCCCUGGACACUGAGGUCUCACUUAUGGAAUUACAACGGGCAGAACAAAGCUCCUGAAAAUUCCUCAAAAAGCACCACGAGGUUGUGACAGAUCCUGGAGCUGCCAGGCGCCCUUGGACAAGUGGGAUCUGCCCAUGGAGCCAGGCUGGGAUCACUGACCCUGGGACAGAGAGGUUUCAUGGAAAAAACCCAAGGGAAUUGUUCUGUUUGGAUGCUUUAAUUUAAUUUGGAAAAGGAGAAACCCAUUCUUCCAUCUCUGCACAUCUUGGGAAAUGCUGGUUUUAAUUUGCAGGAGAACAUCCAAGGAAAGUUUCUCCACGUGAAAAGGGAGAAAUGGGAGUUUCUUGCAGGAUUUCAUUGCUGUGCCCAGGGGAGGGAAUGGAUGAGGAUUGGAAUAUUUGUGUGCUUUCUUUCCAAUGAAAAUAAAAGUGAGUUUUGUUUGUUUCUCUGCA
rnacentral:lncRNA from 1 species